rnacentral:rRNA from 1 species
AGGAUGAACGCUGGCGGCGUGCCUAAUACAUGCAAGUCGAACGAGUUCUGAUUAUUGAAAGGUGCUUGCAUCUUGAUUUAAUUUUGAACGAGUGGCGGACGGGUGAGUAACACGUGGGUAACCUGCCCUUAAGUGGGGGAUAACAUUUGGAAACAGAUGCUAAUACCGCAUAAAUCCAAAAACCGCAUGGUUCUUGGCUGAAAGAUGGCGUAAGCUAUCGCUUUUGGAUGGACCCGCGGCGUAUUAGCUAGUUGGUGAGGUAACGGCUCACCAAGGCAACGAUACGUAGCCGAACUGAGAGGUUGAUCGGCCACAUUGGGACUGAGACACGGCCCAAACUCCUACGGGAGGCAGCAGUAGGGAAUCUUCCACAAUGGACGCAAGUCUGAUGGAGCAACGCCGCGUGAGUGAAGAAGGCUUUCGGGUCGUAAAACUCUGUUGUUGGAGAAGAAUGGUCGGCAGAGUAACUGUUGUCGGCGUGACGGUAUCCAACCAGAAAGCCACGGCUAACUACGUGCCAGCAGCCGCGGUAAUACGUAGGUGGCAAGCGUUAUCCGGAUUUAUUGGGCGUAAAGCGAGCGCAGGCGGUUUUUUAAGUCUGAUGUGAAAGCCCUCGGCUUAACCGAGGAAGUGCAUCGGAAACUGGGAAACUUGAGUGCAGAAGAGGACAGUGGAACUCCAUGUGUAGCGGUGAAAUGCGUAGAUAUAUGGAAGAACACCAGUGGCGAAGGCGGCUGUCUGGUCUGUAACUGACGCUGAGGCUCCAAAGCAUGGGUAGCGAACAGGAUUAAAUACCCUGGUACUCCAUGCCGUACACGAUGAAUGCUAGGUGUUGGAGGGUUUCCGCCCUUCAGUGCCGCAGCUAACGCAUUAAGCAUUCCGCCUGGGGAGUACGACCGCAAGGUUGAAACUCAAAGGAAUUGACGGGGGCCCGCACAAGCGGUGGAGCAUGUGGUUUAAUUCGAAGCAACGCGAAGAACCUUACCAGGUCUUGACAUCUUUUGAUCACCUGAGAGAUCAGGUUUCCCCUUCGGGGGCAAAAUGACAGGUGGUGCAUGGUUGUCGUCAGCUCGUGUCGUGAGAUGUUGGGUUAAGUCCCGCAACGAGCGCAACCCUUAUGACUAGUUGCCAGCAUUUAGUUGGGCACUCUAGUAAGACUGCCGGUGACAAACCGGAGGAAGGUGGGGAUGACGUCAAAUCAUCAUGCCCCUUAUGACCUGGGCUACACACGUGCUACAAUGGAUGGUACAACGAGUUGCGAGACCGCGAGGUCAAGCUAAUCUCUUAAAGCCAUUCUCAGUUCGGACUGUAGGCUGCAACUCGCCUACACGAAGUCGGAAUCGCUAGUAAUCGCGGAUCAGCACGCCGCGGUGAAUACGUUCCCGGGCCUUGUACACACCGCCCGUCACACCAUGAGAGUUUGUAACACCCGAAGCCGGUGGCGUAACCCUUUUAGGGAGCGAGCCGUCUAAGGUGGGACAAAUGA